AUUGAACGCUGGCGGCAGGCCUAACACAUGCAAGUCGAGCGAGCGGCGGACGGGUGAGUAAUGUAUGGGGAUCUGCCCGAUAGAGGGGGAUAAAUACUGGAAACGGUGGCUAAUACCGCAUACUAUCGGAUGAACCCAUAUGGGAUUAGCUAGUAGGUGGGGUAAAGGCUCACCUAGGCUACGAUCCCUAGCUGGUCUGAGAGGAUGACCAGCCACAUUGGAACUGAGACACGUACCAUCCGCCUACGGGAGGCAGAAGUGGGGAAUAUUCCACAAUGGGCGCAAGCCUGAUGCAGCCAGGCCGCGUGUAUGAAGAAGGCCUUCGGUUUUUAAAGUACUUUCAGCGGGUAGGCUUUACCCGAAGAAGAAGCCCCGGCUAACUCCGUGCCAGCCGCCGCGGUAAUAC
rnacentral:rRNA from 1 species